CAGCUUCAAAACACACCAUGUUUUCUACAUGCCUACUGCUGCUGCUUGUGGCAGCAAGAACCUGUGUUCACUGUGUUGAACUGACUCAGCCUGGAUCAAUGGUUCUAAAUCCUGGGAAUCAAAUGACAAUCACCUGUAAAGUGUCUGGGUAUUCAGUGACUGAUAGCAGCUACUGUACACACUGGAUACGGCAGCCUGCAGGAAAAGCUCUGGAGUGGGUUGGAGGCAUAUGUGGUAGUGGUAACACCUACUACAGUGAUAAACUGAAAAGCAGAUUUCAAGUUUCCAGAGACUCUUCCAGUAGCACAGUAACCUUAAAAGGGCAGAAUCUGCAGACUGACGACACAGCUGUGUAUUACUGUGCACGUGAACCACAGUGA